UACGAAGGGGGCAAGCGUUGUUCGGAAUUACUGGGCGUAAAGGGCUCGUAGGCGGCCAACUAAGUCGGAUGUGAAAUCCCCAGGCUUAACCUGGGAACUGCAUCCGAUACUGGAUGGCUUGAAUCCGGGAGAGGGAUGCAGAAUUCCAGGUGUAGCGGUGAAAUGCGUAGAUAUCUGGAGGAAUACCGGUGGCGAAGGCGGCAUCCUGGACCGGCAUUGACGCUGAGGAGCGAAAGCUAGGGGAGCAAACGGG
rnacentral:rRNA from 1 species